GACCCGCGUUUCAAGCUUAAUCAUGUAGAGUUUCGUCUCAAACAGACCUUUCCGAAUGAUCCUCAGCCACGGAUUGACAGAGUGAAGAAAAAUUUUAGGAGUCUCUUCAACGAAUAUUUUUCUCAACUCACGAAUGAUAGCACCAACUUAUCGCAACCAGCAGGACAAGAUCAUAGUCAAAUGGUCACAACAGACGAUAUCUUUGAUGACUGGGAUAAUCACCUUAACGAGGAUAACCAAGAUCAAGUAAUCACAGAGCAUGACCGAUAUUUGAAUGAGAGCCCGGUUGCGAGAUCUCCUGACUUUGACAUACUAAAAUGGUGGAGUGCGAACUCUGUAACCUAUCCCACACUUGCUGCAAUCGCACGUGAUGUGCUAGCAAUGCCUGCAUCUACGGCUGCGUCUGAAUUUGCUUUUAGCAUGGGAGCAAGAACCGUGACCGACUUUCGUAGUAGGUUGAGCGUUGAGAGUGUUGAGACCCUUAUAUGUACACAAGAUUGGUAUCGAGGAUCUGCUUCUCACCGGCGUAUGGGUGCAAUCACAGAUCUAGUUGACCUCAAAGAUGCCGAGAAAUUAUCACUCUUGGCAUAGUUUUAGUUCUUGCACCUGGGCAUGUUGCUGAAGCUGGAAAGGAAGCCCUUGUCAGAGAAGCUUAUCUAUGCCUGGUAUUCAUCGUAGUAGUAGGU